GCCGGGGUGGUGUAACGGCAGCCACGCUGGACUCAAAAUCCAGUGCCCGCGAGGGCGUGCGGGUUCAACUCCCGCCCCCGGUACCA
rnacentral:tRNA from 1 species